rnacentral:rRNA from 1 species
GUCGAACGGCAGCACGGAGCUUGCUCUGGUGGCGAGUGGCGAACGGGUGAGUAAUAUAUCGGAACGUACCCUAGAGUGGGGGAUAACGUAGCGAAAGUUACGCUAAUACCGCAUACGAUCUAAGGAUGAAAGUGGGGGAUCGCAAGACCUCAUGCUCGUGGAGCGGCCGAUAUCUGAUUAGCUAGUUGGUAGGGUAAAAGCCUACCAAGGCAUCGAUCAGUAGCUGGUCUGAGAGGACGACCAGCCACACUGGAACUGAGACACGGUCCAGACUCCUACGGGAGGCAGCAGUGGGGAAUUUUGGACAAUGGGCGAAAGCCUGAUCCAGCAAUGCCGCGUGAGUGAAGAAGGCCUUCGGGUUGUAAAGCUCUUUUGUCAGGGAAGAAACGGUGAAAGCUAAUAUCUUUUGCUAAUGACGGUACCUGAAGAAUAAGCACCGGCUAACUACGUGCCAGCAGCCGCGGUAAUACGUAGGGUGCAAGCGUUAAUCGGAAUUACUGGGCGUAAAGCGUGCGCAGGCGGUUUUGUAAGUCUGAUGUGAAAUCCCCGGGCUCAACCUGGGAAUUGCAUUGGAGACUGCAAGGCUAGAAUCUGGCAG